GUUCGGUACGGUUCGGUUUUGCCAUAUUGAACAACCCUAGCUGAAACUGUGUAUUGCUUCAGCAAACUUUCCCCAAAGGCAGCAAGGUAUCUUUUGAUCACUGUUGAAAACAUAUAUUAAUAGCUUAAAAAAUAUAUGAUAUAAGAAAUACAUAAAUUAAUAUAUUACUUGAUGUCUCUCAAGCUGAACUCGAUUUUUUUUCUUUCUUUACCGUGACACUGCACAGUUUCCAGAUCUCCCAACUCAAACACUUGUCCAAUUACAUCUGAUAUUGUACACAUCAUAUGUAAGAUUCGUAAAACACUUUAGAAAAAUAUAGAAGUAAAAAUUUGUAUGAAUGUAUUAAACUAACCAAUUAAGUUGGUUGUAUCAAGUUUUCCACUUUGAAUGCUUUCAAAGUCAACCAAACUAAGGAACAUUUUUUCCUCUUGCAGUGUUGAAGGAGUAAUGUCAGUGGUGGGAAUGAAGACAAUCUUGUAUUGGUGAUUUGUAGUCUUGUAACUACCGCCAUUAUUAGUCACCAAGAAAUUGUCAAUGUUUCUCCAAGCACCAACAGUGCAGUUUCUGUAAAGAUUGAAGGUGUGGUGGAGUUAUGCGUAGACUGCAAUAUUUAUAAGUGCAGUUUCUGUAAAGAUGGAAGGUGUGGAGAUUUUUCCGGAAAUAUAGUAGUGGUGAUGUUACGUGAUUAAAGGAAUAAAAUACUCAGAAAAGUAUUUAUGUUCUAUCUUUUCAGAAAUCAUGGGGUUUUUUAUUUAAUUAUUAUUUAGGAAAUUGUAGUGUUUGUAUUUAUAAUCUGGGUUAUAAUAUUUUCGUAUAAUGAUGUGGAAAAUUCACUGAAUCAUAUGGUGACGUAAAGAACUUGAGCAAUUUCACAUUUUUUUAAUUAUAUUGUAUUAAAAAAGUUUGACGUAAAGAACUUGACAAAUUUCACAUUUUUUAAUUUUUUUUUAAAUUUUAUGAACUUGAGCAAUUUCACAAUGCAAGGAAAAACAGCUUUUUUUUUGUUAUUUCUGCUUAUUUGGUAGUAGAAAAUCGUGGAAAUAUAGUGGGUAAGAAACCAACCACGUUCUUUUUAUAAAAAUGAAAAAGGCAAUUAGAAAAAAAAACUGUUUUUUAAACGGACAUCACUGUGUGAUAUAUUUGAAUUGUAUAAUACGAUACAAUUAUGUAAAAGUUGGUUUUUUAAAAAAGGAAGGUCCAGUGGCAAAAAAAGUAAUAUUCCAGGUAUGGGUAGGGGUAAAAGAUAGGAAUGAUCCUGAAUUAAUAAUAUUGAUAUGCUGAGUCCUAAAGCUAUCCACGUAGGAUUAAAAAAUCCACCAAUAAUAUAGUGACAUCUCAGCAACAUUUCAGUCAACUUUUGCCUUUACGUCAAUCUUGAACAUCAUUGAUCUAUCUCUUUAUCUUCUUCUCUACAAUCUCAGCUGUUUCUCAUACUUAGAGAGCGGCUCAAAGGCUCAGCAAAACUUCUUCAGGUCCAGAUCUUAGCGAGAUUCCGAUUCUUACCGCCGGGAUCAGAAAAUCUGAGAGCGAGAAUCGACUCUCUGAGACAGAUGUUGGUGCUUUAUAUUCUCAGCUCAAAGAGCUCCAGAAGAAGAAUGCGGACAUGGAGGAGCGUGACAAAAUGUUGUACUCAAAGGAACAAAACACAGUGCCAUCUCUGAGAAAAGCUCUCAAGGAAAUUGCAAUGGAGAAAGAUGUUGCUGUUGUUUCACGAUUAGGAAUUUGAAGAAACGUGUCAAGGAGGCAGAGGAUGAACAAUAUCGUGGUGAGGAAGAUGCAGCAUCUCUCAGAGCAGAGCUUAACUUGAUACAACAGCAAACAAUGGGUACUUCGUUUGUUGGAGUUUCCCCGGACCAAGUUUUGGAGAAGGAGAUGGCCAAACUAAAAUUAGAAUUACAGGGAAUCCCCAAACCUUGACAUAUUUCCCCUCAAUAUUCAUCACUGCCGGUGUCUUCUUCAAAAAGCUACGAAUUUGAGGAAGACAAAUCAUUGUAUCAUGUCGCAACCUCUCUCUUGCGUAAGAAUCUCUAUCAAUCCGUUAAUUAUAUUCCAGUAUUUUCAUACUUUUAUCAUUUUCUCAUUGAUCCUAUUUUGUUGUUUGGCCUGAGAAACUAUGCGCAGUUGAAUUGUUCAAUAUAUUGUUGUUGGAAUAGUUGCAUAUUUGGAACUCACUAUAACUCUUAAGCAUAAAAAGAUGACCGCAAACAUGAAGUCCAUCAUCUAAUCGUGCAACAACCAUCAGAUUCAACCAUUAAAGAAUCAGUUUGAUUUACUAUAAGAAAACAGUCUUUAGGUGUCACGAUCUCUUACCUUUAUUAUUGCUGCCAUCAUGUUUUGUUUCUCAUGAAAUGACUUCUUUAUCUAGAUCAAAAGCAUUCUCAACAUCAGUGUCUUUUUGACUAAAAUAUUAAAGUCUUUGCUUAAUGAUCUAGAGCAGGUUUUGGACAAAUAUAACACUUCCCAUUGUUCACUUUGUCUAAGGUGAAUUGGCAAGGAUGGACCUAAGACUCACGGUUCAUAGAUUGAGAGCUAAGAAACAGAGGGGUAACCCAUUGACACCAGAAGAAACUGAUUUACUCCUUUCAGCUUUGGGUUUCUCUUAGUUAUGUCUCAGUUUACUCUACUGAAUCUUUUUCUCUUGAUGUACCAUUAUUAGUUGGUGGCCUUCCAAGGGACGUGUUGUGGAGAUAUAGGGUCCUGAUGUAUUAGAAAAGAAAAAAAAACGGGCUGAAGCAUUGAAACAAGGAGGUUAUUGUAGUUUUUUUAACUCUUCGUACUGAACCCUAUUCGAUUUGAAAGGCCUUGACUCCUCACUUGCUAAGAUAAUCAGUGUAAUAAAUCAGAGAAAUGACGUCUAUUAGAGCCUGAUUGGUGCAAACAGGCCCUUGGUCCUCUGGACACUUCAGUCCGCAGUUGUUCAGUUGGUGUUAUUGGUGGUGACAGUGUAGGAGAACUUGAGGAUGAGAUGGGUGAUGCUCAUAUGGCUAUCCAAACCAAGUUGAUGAGCCAAGCUUUCCAUAAACUGAGCCACUCUUUGUCGUUAUGGCAAAAACUUAUCAUCUUUAUAAAUCAAGUAUAGAACCGCUCCCAACAAACACCAAAUAAGGAUCGGUAAUUGGGGGGUUUGGCACUGUUUGCGGGCUCCACCGACACGUGGCGGCCCGCAAUUGGCUCAUUUUUAAUUUUUUUUUUUAAGAAAACAAAAAAAAAAAAACUUAAGGAUCGCUUAUGCGAUAAUCAUGGUCUAAGUAUCCAAAACUUGGUAACAAACUUUCAGUAUGUUAUUGCCUUUAAUAAAUUGGGCUUUAAUC